AUCUGUACAGAGUGUUUUUUGCAGAUGAAGACUCCCAAUUCAACCCGUCCAACACAAUGCCCAUUUUGUAAAACUUCAAACUAUGCGGUGGAAUAUCGUGGGGUAAAAACUAAGGAAGAGAAAGGGAUAGAGCAAAUUGAGGAACAACGAGUUAUAGAAGCCAAAAUAAGGAUGAGACAGCAGGAGUUGCAGGAUGAUGAAGAGAAAAUGCAUAAACGAAG
rnacentral:misc_RNA from 1 species